rfam:Strongylocentrotus purpuratus Contig138217_fixed, whole genome shotgun sequence.
GGCAUGGUGGCUCAGUGGUUAGAGCGCCCGCCUCUUAAAGGGGAGGUCCUGGUUUCGAACCCCGGCCGAGUCA